ensembl:lncRNA
AAGCAAUAGGUGUGGCAAAUUAAUUACCAUGGCAACAGGGUACUUACUUACCAUGGCAACAGGGCAUCAAGCAAAUUAACUACCAUGGCAACAGGGUAUCAAGUAACAGGUAUGACAAAUUAAUUACCAUGGCAACAGGGUAUCAAGCAAUAGGUGUGGCAAAUUAAUUACCAUGGCAACAGGGUACUUACUUACCAUGGCAACAGGGCAUCAAGCAAAUUAACUACCAUGGCAACAGGGUAUCAAGUAACAGGUAUGACAAAUUAAUUACCGUGGCAACAGGGUAUCAAGCAAUAGGUGUGGCAAAUUAAUUACCAUGGAAACAGGGUAAUUAACUACCAUGGCAACAGGGUAGCCAGCAAAAGGAAAUAAUGACCAUAUAAUAAGGAAAAUGAAGAGCAGACCAGGCACUGAGUACGCUGAGUCAAAAGAGACAGAAUCCUGAAGAUAACAAAUCACCCUUAUACAACAUUCAUGAUAAUAUUUGACACGUACAGUCAGUUACUGAAGUAAAAACAGUUUGCUUGGUCUUCGUCAGUCUGCAUCACGCUAACGAGAGAAGCUGUUUAUCUUCCAGAUAAAGUGCUUGUCUUUUUUUUUCUUUUUUCUUCUUUUACAGAUGGCCCCUCCCACUGGCUGACCAUAAAAAGCCGUUAUGCUAAUGAAGCCUGUGUGCCUUUCACCUAAAGCCCAUUAGUUUCCUUUCGUCGCCACGAGUAACAGGUGGGCGGAGUCGAGCUGUCAGUCUCCGAGCAGGUUCUUAAGAAACUCGAGAUUCCUGUUUUCUUUGAAGAAAGAGAAGGUCACGCUAACAAGCCGAGCGACUUUAAACCUCGGCCAAACACCACCAGACUGAACUUACUGUGGUUCCACAUGGAUACACACUCGCAACACAGUGUGUGUGUGUGUGUGUGUGUGUGUGUGUGUGUGUGUGUGUGUGUGUGUGUGAUGUUACACAUAGUGUGGGGCAUUAAGCUUCUGCCCAGGCAACCUACACACACACACACACGCACACACACACGCACACACACGCACAUACAGACACACACACUCUGAACUCUACUGCUAUAACUUAGUCACUUUAAGAAAAAGAGAAGAAAUCAGGUUUAAGGGGAAUAUUGAGAGAGCGAGAGAGAGAGAGGGAGAGAGAGAGAGAGAGAGAACAAGUACAUGACAGAUGGAGAGAGAGAAAAUGUAUAUGAGAGAUGAAGAGUAUGAAAGAGAGGGAGAGAGGGAAAGAAGGUAUAACAGAGCGGGAGACGG